CCGAGCGAGGGCGCCCCGCGCCCGACCUCCCAACCCUCUGUUAACCGUACCGCGUUGCCUCGGGGUGGCCCUCACCGGCGCCCCAGAGGACGUCCAUCAAAACCCUGCGUCUUUGCGUCGGAGUAUUAGUUUGAAUCAAUCA
rnacentral:misc_RNA from 1 species